rnacentral:rRNA from 1 species
GACGAACGCCGGCGGCGUGCUUAACACAUGCAAGUCGAACGGAAAGGCCCUGCUUUUGUGGGGUGCUCGAGUGGCGAACGGGUGAGUAACACGUGAGUAACCUGCCCUUGACUUUGGGAUAACUUCAGGAAACUGGGGCUAAUACCGGAUAGGAGCUCCUGCUGCAUGGUGGGGGUUGGAAAGUUUCGGCGGUUGGGGAUGGACUCGCGGCUUAUCAGCUUGUUGGUGGGGUAGUGGCUUACCAAGGCUUUGACGGGUAGCCGGCCUGAGAGGGUGACCGGCCACAUUGGGACUGAGAAAGGACCCAGACUCCAACGGGAGGCAGCAGUGGGAAAUAUUGCACAAAGGGCGGAAGCCUGAUGCAGCAACGCCGCGUGCGGGAUGACGGCCUUCGGGUUAUAAACCGCUUUCGCCUGUGACGAAGAGUGAGUGACGGUAAUGGGUAAAGAAGCACCGGCUAACUACGUG